AGGAGAACAUAGUCUUUGAACAACACAAAGUCCAGGUAUUGAGCAAGAGAAUUCCCCAGAGGCUGACUAGAAGCCGUGGAACAUGAUUCAACAAUGGACAACUGGCUUUAAAGAGAGAAAUAACAACUGACUACAUAACCAAGCCCGGUUAAAUACCAAGAUACUCUUGUUUUAGUGCCACUCAGAGAAAUGGCCUCUCGAUUACGACACCAUAAAGGCAGAGGGUCAAACCCCCAGACCUCCUCGAGGACCUGCGGAGAGAACAGAGGGUCACGGCCGGCCCGCGGCCCCGCCGCCCCGCCCUCCCCGCUGCGGACCCACCUGGAGCAG